rnacentral:rRNA from 1 species
AGAGUUUGAUCCUGGCUCAGAAUCAACGCUGGCGGCGUGCCUAAUACAUGCAAGUCGAACGCGAAGACCCCGCAAGGGGUUGUUAGCGUGGCAAACGGGUGAGUAACGCGUGGGCGACCUGCCUUCGAGUGGGGGAUAACCUUCCGAAAGGAGGGCUAAUACCGCAUGACAUACUGCGUUUGGAUACGCAGAUAUCAAAGCCGGGGAUCGCAAGACCUGGCGCUUGAAGAGGGGCCUACGUCCGAUUAGCUAGUUGGUGGGGUAACGGCUCACCAAGGCGACGAUCGGUAUCCGGCCUGAGAGGGCGGACGGACACACUGGGACUGAGACACGGCCCAGACUCCUACGGGAGGCAGCAGUAGGGAAUUGUUCGCAAUGGGCGCAAGCCUGACGACGCAACGCCGCGUGGAGGAUGAAGGGCUUCGGCUCGUAAACUCCUUUCGACCGAGAUGAAUACCCGCAGACUUAAUACGUUUGCGGACUGACAGUAUCGAGGAGAGCC